UGGGGAAUAUUGCACAAUGGGCGAAAGCCUGAUGCAGCAACGCCGCGUGAGUGAUGAAGGUCUUCGGAUUGUAAAGCUCUGUCUUUUGGGACGAUAAUGACGGUACCAAAGGAGGAAGCCACGGCUAACUACGUGCCAGCAGCCGCGGUAAUACGUAGGUGGCGAGCGUUGUCCGGAUUUACUGGGCGUAAAGGGUGCGUAGGCGGAUGUUUAAGUGAGAUGUGAAAUACCCGGGCUUAACUUGGGUGCUGCAUUUCAAACUGGAUAUCUAGAGUGCAGGAGAGGAGAAUGGAAUUCCUAGUGUAGCGGUGAAAUGCGUAGAGAUUAGGAAGAACACCAGUGGCGAAGGCGAUUCUCUGGACUGUAACUGACGCUGAGGCACGAAAGCGUGGGUAGCAAACAGGAUUAGAUACCCUGGUAGUCCACGCC
rnacentral:rRNA from 1 species